CCAAUAGCGUAUAUUAAAGUUGUUGCAGUUAAAAAGCUCGUAGUUGAAUUUCGGGGUUAGUAGGUUGGUCAUGCCUCUGGUAUGUACUGGUCCCACUGAUUCCUCCUUCCUGAUGAGCCGUAAUGCCAUUAAUUUGGUGUUGCGGGGAAUUUAGACUGUUACUUUGAAAAAAUUAGAGUGUUUAAAGCAAGCUAACGCUUGAAUACAUUAGCUUGGAAUAAUGAAAUAGGACGUUCGAUCCUAUUUUGUUGGUUUCUAGGAUUGACGUAAUGAUUAAUAGGGAUAGUUGGGGGCAUUAGUAUUCAAUUGUCAGAGGUGAAAUUCUUGGAUUUAUUGAAGACUAACUACUGCGAAAGCAUUUGCCAAGGAUGUUUUCAUUAAUCAAGAACGAAAGUUAGGGGAUCGAAGACGAUCAGAUACCGUCGUAGUCUUAACCAUAAACUAUGCCGACUAGGGAUCGGAUGAUGUUAAUUUUUUAAUGACUCAUUCGGCGCCUUACG
rnacentral:rRNA from 1 species